UUGAGCACUCUAAUGAGACUGCCGCUGACAAACCGNAGGAGGGUGGGGAUGACGUCAAGUCCUCAUGGYCCUUAUAGGUGUGGGUACACACGUCAUACAAUGGCUGGUACAGAGGGUUGCCAACCCGCGAGGGGGAGCUACUCCCAUAAAACCAGUCNUAGUCCGGAUCUCAGCCUGCAACUCGACUGCGUGUAAGUCNGAAU
rnacentral:rRNA from 1 species